AGUGAACGCUGGCGGUAGGCCUAACACAUGCAAGUCGAACGGCAGCACAGUAAGAGCUUGCUCUUACGGGUGGCGAGUGGCGGACGGGUGAGGAAUACAUCGGAAUCUACUUUUUCGUGGGGGAUAACGUAGGGAAUCUUACGCUAAUACCGCAUACGACCUACGGGUGAAAGCAGGGGGUCUUCGGACCUUGCGCGAUUGAAUGAGCCGAUGUCGGAUUAGCUAGUUGGCGGGGUAAAGGCCCACCAAGGCGACGAUCCGUAGCUGGUCUGAGAGGAUGAUCAGCCACACUGGAACUGAGACACGGUCCAGACUCCUACGGGAGGCAGCAGUGGGGAAUAUUGGACAAUGGGCGCAAGCCUGAUCCAGCCAUACCGCGUGGGUGAAGAAGGCCUUCGGGUUGUAAAGCCCUUUUGUUGGGAAAGAAAAGCAGCAGGUUAAUACCCCGCUGUUCUGACGGUACCCAAAGAAUAAGCACCGGCUAACUUCGUG
rnacentral:rRNA from 1 species